GUGAGUCGUUUCUUCAAAUCCUAUGCUUUUUCUAUGAUACCUAUGACCGUCCCCCCUUCAUAUGAUACCUAGCAUUUAAAAACAUAGGUAAAAAUAUUCCCUUUCCCUUAAACACGAAGGCGCGGUAUAAAAGGCCGCUUCCCAUGGAAGCAUCGGCUCAUUUGUCAAUCAACCGCCGUGGAUGGGGGUUAAAUUCAAGAUGGCGGCCAUAGUCAAAUACAAGACACAGAGGGGAGAGGUUUCAAAGCGCUUCCUGAUGUAUAAAAAUGCCAACUCUACCUUCUAGUCCGAUAGAAUGUGUAAAAAAGAAAACACAGUAGAAAUAAAGCUACGAAACCAUCGUGAUUUACGCAGAAAAUCAAGCAAACUCAUGACCAAAAAACAACGAUUUCAAACCUCGAAAAAAGCUAUACCCAAGGAGCAAGUCAUGGUGACAUCUGAAUAACCAACAAGAUAUAUAUCUCAAGAAAAAACAGAUAUUUUUAGACAUAUACAGUUAUUACAUUUCCCUUUAUAAAGGAAACAUGUUUUUUUUUGCUAUCAAAUUGAUUUAUGUGUUACUGAAGGGUAUAGCUACCAGUCAUAUUUUAUAAACUGCAUUAUAGAUUAUACUUUUGAAUAAACCAAAAUGCUUUCUCUUUUAUCCAUUCAGUUCAAGACUUCUCAUUCUUACAGUAAAAGCAAGUAUAGAUACAGGGGGGAUAUCCAUUGAAUAAAAACAGUAA